CAACGAGAUCUACACUCUUUCCCUACACGAGGCCCGUACUUUGUGUUGUGAGGUGACUGUUAGAAUCAAAAGCAUUUGAGGAAAGACAGACGUCUCUUUUUUCAAAUAUUCCCCUCUCGUUUCAUUCCACCGCCUCGCCUAUGUGAUGGGACACCUAAGGGCCCAGUAACAAAGGACAGAGAGAGAGGGGAGGAGAGGACAGAGGAAACAGGGAGAAAUCAGAAAAAGAGAGAAAGAGAGAGAGAAACCCAAAGUGAAUGAAAUAAGAAACCAAAA